GGGCAUGGCACUCACUUUCCAAAAGAUCAUGUGCAGCCUUUUGGAAAGUGGGCAUUGUGUCCAGAAAAAAGCAGUGAAGGCGAUAAAGACCUGAUUUUUAGCGGAACUGCUCCCUGCCCUGCCAAAUCAAUUUGAAUGUGGGCACCUACACUGGUUCGGCGCUUUGCUAAGGAGGCACCGAACCAGUUCGGGCACAUGCCUAUUUCUUACAUUGCUCUACAAGUGAGGGAUUUAGAUACCACAGAAUUCAGUCGAUUCUGAAAAGAUGCCCCAAUGGACACAGUGGAGACGUCUUUCUGAGUGGGCAUGCGUAGGAUUGUGCUGAAAUGUGCAGCUGGUUAGAUUUCUCAUAGUACCCCCCCAAAGCAGGGGUCGUCAACCUUGGCUCUCCAGCUGUUGCUGAACUACAACUCCCAUCAUCCCCAGUCACAAUUUGUUGAGCGCCAAAGUUGCCUGCCUCUGCCCCAAAGAAUGUUAGGAGAAAGUGCUGAGAAUUUGGUUGGAGGCCUCUCUUGGAGCUACAGUUCCUAGGAUUCCCUGAGGAGCAGUAAUUAUUAAAGGUUUGUCAAAUAUAGGUGGCCUUCACAUGUUCUGUCACAAGUCUGGUUUCUGGGGAGUGUGUGGCAGAUUCGUUGUCCGAAUCGACCCAAAGUCCAGUUCCAGAGCUGGGCGUUGUCCGAAUCGACCCAAAGUCCAGUUCCAGAGCUGGGCGUUGUCCGAAUCGACCCAAAGGUUCCGGUUCCAGAAUGCUGAUAUUCAUCCAACAUUUACAACCAACAUUUGAAGUCGGGUGGCGAAUGUCGGGCAUAUAUCCGCAAACCAGCUCGAGAACCGGACUUCAGCAGAUUAAUCAGACAACAUGUCUGCUACCUGGGAACUGGAUUUGUGGCAGAGCAGGUGAAGCCACCUCUUUAGACUACCCCUUGGCAAAAGGACAGUACCUCCAAAAGAGACUCCACAGCGGAACUCACGGGAUGAGAUAGGACUCCUGGGAAGGCCGUCUUUCAGACAGAAGGGCUGGCCUCACUGCCCUAAACAGGAGUUUGUUUUCUAACAUACCCAACAAGGCAUAUGCGGGAGAGUGCUCAAGAGCUAUGGGGUAAAUAUUUAAUUGCUCACUCAUCUGUGAUUAAAUCAAUGUUGUACUCUAAGUUGCCUUUGGCCUCUUCUUGUUUGUUUACUCUUGGUUAUAGCAGGGAUUCUCAAGUCUUGGGUCCCCAGAUGCUGUUGGACGACAACCAGCUGGCUAACUAAAACAGAAGGCUGAGCUGCAGGAUACCCUCCACGUCAAAAGCCAGCCACUGGCAGCCCGUGGGCCCAAUCCACCCCUCACUGACCAACCCAGAAGAGAAAGAAGCAGCAUCUGUGGAAAAGGGCUACAAGGACACCAUAGAUCAGGGCUGUACAAAGUGGGCUCAUCAGCUGUUUUUUUGGACUACAGCUCCCAUGAUCCGCAGCCACAGUGGCUAAUAGGAGGUUAAGGGAGCUGUAGGCCAACAUCUGUAGGAGGGUCCAAGUUGUGUCAAUCUGCCACACAGGGAUUAUGGGGGGUAGGAUGGGUGCUCUUGGUCAAUGAAUCCUUGCUUCCUUCUCAGAGCGGACUUCCGGAAAAGGUAGCUGCCGACCAUGGUCCUACAUCAAUUCAAACCGAAACCAAAGCAAAGAUUUUUCUGUCUCACCCUGUUCCUUUUACCAUCUUGUGUGCCAGCCUCAGACCUCAAGAAAAGGAGUUCUCUAUCGGAAGACAUAAACAGGAGGUCUCAGGCCCCGCUGAUCGCUGGGAUAGUGGACUUCGGAAAACUAAGCAUCCUACGGUGGAGAGACAAAGGGGUCACCUCACUUGUACGGCUUUAAGUCCUGAGGGAUCAGUGGUUCUGUAUCUUCGCCCGGGCUCUGUGAUGGUUGGAGUGCUGAUGCGGCAGAGGCCAGGCUGUGGAUGGUUUCUUGCUGGUGUCGCUUGGCUUUGUUAUAAAGGAGAACGCCGACAGUCACCAGGACGGUGCCGACAGCCGAGAGACUGGUGAUCUUGUUGCUGAAGACGAUAAUACUCAGCCAGAUGGACAGCGCAUGCUUCACGGUGCUGGCAACACUGGGAGGAAAACCGAGGAGGUUGAAGGAUAAGCAGGAAGAACAGGCAACAAUUCUUCAUAAAAAUGGCCCGCCCUACCACCUCAACGUCAACAAACCGGAACGGAAGUCGAGAAACUGGAAGUCGACAAAACCAGAACGGAGUCUAAAUUCUCUUGUUUGUUUUCAGCUAGAACCCUUAAAACCAGAAGUGGUGAAUCUGAGGUGCUUAGUUGGACUACAGCUCCCAUCACCCCCACUACCAUUUGUUACAGCAGGGGAUGAUAGGAAUUGUAGUCCAACUAUAGAGCCUCAGGUUGGCCAGCCCUGUUGGAUUACAACUCCCAUUAUCCCCAGCUUUAAAAAAACAACCAAAAAAUCAACCACCACCACAAACAUUUAUAUAUCAGCUUUCAACAGAAAUGAUCACUCAAUGAUAAUUAUUGAUAAUUAUGACAAUAAUGGUUUAAUUCAAUUUAGUGAGGCUGGGGGGUGAUGGGGUUUGUAGUCCAACAACAGCAGAAGAAACCCAAAGUGGCUACUCCUGUUGGACCACAGUUCUCAUAAUCCCAGCUGGAAUUUACUGCAGCAGGGGAUGAUGGGAGUUGUAGUUGAAUAAUAGCUGGAGAGGCUCACCACUGCCUUUAACAUGAAUUAGUAAUGGAUUCAAAAAUAAGCAGUUCCAUAAUCAGGCAACCAGCUUUCCAAAGAAGGAUUCUUUUUAACAAAAAUCCUGACAUAUGUAUUUUCUUUGUAAAAAAAUGUUAAACAACCCAUUUUUAAAGAAUAAUGUUCUUUAAAACCUCUCCUCAAGUUAAACAGUUAAACAUUGAACUCAUUUUAUGGAAUAACAUUGUAGGCAACAGAGUCUGUGUUUAUUUGGCAUGAAAUGUAUCCAAACCACUCCACGGACUUGGAAAAAGAAUAUUCUCCAAUUCGAAUGUUUUCCAAUUAUCCGAAGGGAUGAGAAUCAUCGAACCGGUUACCAAAUCACUUCUUAUAGCCGGUGGCUGACAUCCAGACUAAGCGACUCUAAAGUAUUACUCCAGAGUUACUCUAAAAGACUACUACAUUUCAAUAGGAAUACUCAGGAGUAAUUUAGUCUGCCUGUCAGCACAAAAUUACUUGCAUUACUCAAGUCAAUGGGCAGUAUACAGACGAAGCCAUGUCUAAGCACCACUGAAAUAAACAAGGCAAGUUAAUCAUGACUUAUUUUAAUUGUCAUUUUUAUAGUCUUGUUUUAAUUUUUGUGUUAACAGCCUUCAGAUUGUUUUAAUGAAAAGGUAGUAUUUAUUUUAUUUUAUUUAUUAGAAACUCUGGGCGGUGUACAAAAACAUGCAAAGCAAGACAACAUUAAAAUCACAUUCUAAAUUAAAAAACUAAAGUAACUAACAAAAAAGAAAAAACCAAAUAGGUAAACUACAGGGCAAAAGCCUGGCGAAAAAGCUGGUAUACAAAUUUAAUAAUAAAUAAAUAAAAUAAAAAUGACAAACGAGUCCCAUGAAUUCUGACGGGAUCUCAGUCACGGCAGACUUAGUCUGGAUCUUGCCAGGAUCCAAACUGCGGAGUUUUAAAAAAUAAACCUGGAUGGACCUCAACCGUAAUGAAAUGUGUAAUGGUUGUUUUGAAAUUUCUGAAUUUUCUUAUUAAUUGUUAAUAUGGUCUGUGACCGCAAUAAACUUACAACUACUACUGUAAUGGUUCAACUCCUCAUAUACAGUUUCAGAGGAAAUCUUCAGGGAGAUCUUGAAAAUAAAUAAAUCACACAUUUAUUUGAGAACAGA